UGGCCAGACUCCUACGGGAGGCAGCAGUGGGGAAUAUUGCACAAUGGGGGAAACCCUGAUGCAGCGACGCCGCGUGAGUGAAGAGGUAUUUCGGUAUGUAAAGCUCUAUCAGCAGGGAAGAAAAUGACGGUACCUGACUAAGAAGCCCCGGCUAACUACGUGCCAGCAGCCGCGGUAAUACGUAGGGGGCAAGCGUUAUCCGGAUUUACUGGGUGUAAAGGGAGCGUAGACGGCAUGGCAAGUCAGAUGUGAAAGCCCGGGGCUCAACCCCGGGACUGCAUUUGGAACUGUAUAGCUAGAGUGUCGGAGAGGCAGGCGGAAUUCCUAGUGUAGCGGUGAAAUGCGUAGAUAUUAGGAGGAACACCAGUGGCGAAGGCGGCCUGCUGGACGAUGACUGACGUUGAGGCUCGAAAGCGUGGGGAGCAAACAGGAUUAGAUACCCCCGUAAA
rnacentral:rRNA from 1 species